rnacentral:rRNA from 1 species
GACGAACGCUGGCGGCGUGCUUAACACAUGCAAGUCGAACGGAAAGGCCCCUUUUGGGGUCCUCGAGUGGCGAACGGCGGGGUAACACGUGAGUAAGCUGCCCUUGACUUCGGGAUACCUUUACUAAACCGGAGUUAGUACCUGGUAGGAAUCCUUGCUCCCUGGUGGGGGUUGGAAAGCUUCGGCGGUUUUGGUUGGACUCGCGGCUUAUCCGCUUGGUGGUGGGGUAGUGGCUUACCAUCGCUUUGACGGGUAGCCGGACUGGGAGGGCGAGCGGCCUCAGUGGGACUGGGACACGGCCCCGGCCCCUACGGGAGGGGGAAGUGGGGAUGAUUGAUCAUGGGGCAGAAGCCUGAUGCAGCAACACCGCGGGCGGGAGGACGGUCAUCGGGUUGGAAUCCGAAUUCAGUAGGGGCGGAGCUUGUAGUGACGGUACCUGCAGAAGAAGCACCGGCUAACUACGUG